rnacentral:rRNA from 1 species
AGAGUUUGAUCCUGGCUCAGGAUGAACGCUGGCGGCGUGCCUAACACAUGCAAGUCGAGCGAUUCUCUUCGGAGAAGAGCGGCGGACGGGUGAGUAACGCGUGGGUAACCUGCCCUGUACACACGGAUAACAUACCGAAAGGUAUGCUAAUACGGGAUAAUAUAUAAGAGUCGCAUGACUUUUAUAUCAAAGAUUUUUCGGUACAGGAUGGACCCGCGUCUGAUUAGCUUGUUGGCGGGGUAACGGCCCACCAAGGCGACGAUCAGUAGCCGACCUGAGAGGGUGAUCGGCCACAUUGGAACUGAGACACGGUCCAAACUCCUACGGGAGGCAGCAGUGGGGAAUAUUGCACAAUGGGCGCAAGCCUGAUGCAGCAACGCCGCGUGAGCGAUGAAGGCCUUCGGGUCGUAAAGCUCUGUCCUCAAGGAAGAUAAUGACGGUACUUGAGGAGGAAGCCCCGGCUAACUACGUGCCAGCAGCCGCGGUAAUACGUAGGGGGCUAGCGUUAUCCGGAUUUACUGGGCGUAAAGGGUGCGUAGGCGGUCUUUCAAGUCAGGAGUUAAAGGCUACGGCUCAACCGUAGUAAGCUCCUGAUACUGUCUGACUUGAGUGCAGGAGAGGAAAGCGGAAUUCCCAGUGUAGCGGUGAAAUGCGUAGAUAUUGGGAGGAACACCAGUAGCGAAGGCGGCUUUCUGGACUGUAACUGACGCUGAGGCACGAAAGCGUGGGGAGCAAACAGGAUUAGAUACCCUGGUAGUCCACGCUGUAAACGAUGAGUACUAGGUGUCGGAGGUUACCCCCUUCGGUGCCGCAGCUAACGCAUUAAGUACUCCGCCCUGGGGAGUA